rfam:Oryza barthii chromosome 7, whole genome shotgun sequence.
AAAAAGGCAAACCAUAAGUUUGCGUGUCCAACUUUGACUGUCCGUCUUAUAUGAAAUUUUUUUAUAAUUCGUAUUUUUAUUGGUGUUAGAUGAUAAAACAUGAUUAAUACUUUGUGCGUGACUUGUUUUUUUAAUUUUUUUCAUAAUUUUUUCAAAUAAGACGAACGGUCAAACAUUGUGCACGGAAACCAGGGUUUGUCUUUUU